rnacentral:rRNA from 1 species
GUGGGGAAUUUUGGACAAUGGGGGAAACCCUGAUCCAGCGACGCCGCGUGAAGGAUGAAGGCCUUCGGGUUGUAAACUUCUUUUGGAGGGGACGAAUAAAUUGACGGUACCCUCAGAAAAAGCCACGGCUAACUACGUGCCAGCAGCCGCGGUAAUACGUAGGUGGCGAGCGUUACUCGGAAUUACUAGGCGUAAAGCGUAUGUAGGUGGUCAGAUAAGUCUAUGGUGAAAUUUCCUGGCUCAACUGGGAAGGGACAUAGAUACUAUCUGGCUUGAGUGUGGGAGGGGAAGACGGAAUUCCUGGUGUAGCGGUGAAAUGCGUAGAUAUCAGGAGGAACACCGAUGGCGAAAGCAGUCUUCUGGCCCAAUACUGACACUGAGGUACGAAAGCUAGGGUAGCAAACAGGAUUAGAAACCCCUGUAGUCC